CUACGUGCCAGCAGCCGCGGUAAUACGGAGGAUGCGAGCGUUAUCCGGAAUCAUUGGGUUUAAAGGGUCUGUAGGCGGGCUUGUAAGUCAGAGGUGAAAGCGCUCAGCUCAACUGAGCAACUGCCUUUGAAACUGUUGGUCUUGAAUGGUUGUGAAGUAGUUGGAGUGUGUAGUGUAGCGGUGAAAUGCUUAGAUAUUACACAGAACACCGAUAGCGAAGGCAUAUUACUAACAAUUGAUUGACGCUGAUGGACGAAAGCGUGGGGAGCGAACAGGAUUAGAUACCCUGGUAGUCCACGCUGUAAACGAUGGAUACUAGCUGUUUGGUUUAAGGAUUGAGUGGCUAAGCGAAAGUGAUAAGUAUCCCACCUGGGGAGUACGUUCGCAAGAAUGAAACUCAAAGGAAUUGACGGGGGCCCGCACAAGCGGUGGAACAUGUGGUUUAAUUCGAUGAUACGCGAGGAACCUUACCCGGGCUUGAAUUGCAGAGGAAUUAUUUAGAGAUA
rnacentral:rRNA from 1 species